GAGUGCCCUUCAAACAUGGAAUAACUACGAGCAAAUUGUAGCUAAUACAGGAUAAUCCUUGUUCUCGGGAGAGAUCAAGGCAAAGGUUUACGCCGAUGAAGGAUUUGCUUGCGUUGUAGUUUUAGUUGGUGAGGUAACGGCUUACCAAGAUAUACUGCAUAGCUGGUCUGAGAGGACAGUCAGCCACACCGGGACCGAGAUACGGCCCGGACUCCUUCGGGAGGCAGCAAUGGGGAAUUUUGGACAAUGGAGGAAACUCUGAUCCAGGGAUAUCGUGUGAGUGAUGAAGACCUUCGGGUUGUAAAGCUCUUUCAGCAGGGAAGAAAUUGACGUUACCUGCAGAAGAAGUGCCGACUAACUUCGUGCCAGCAGUCGCGGUAAUACGGGGGGCGCAAGCGUUGUUCGGAAUUACUGGGCGUAAAGGAUGCGUAGGCUGUUUUGUAAGUUUGUUGUUAAAGCCCAGGGCUCAACCCUGGUUCGCAAUGAAUACUGCAAGACUAGAGAUCGGGAGAGGUAAAUGGAAUGUAUAAUUUAGAGGUUAAAUUCGUCGAUAUUAUAAGGAACACCAGAAGCGAAGGCGAUUUACUGGAACGAUUCUGACGCUGAGGCAUGAAAGCGUGGGUAGCGAAUGGGAUUAGAUACCCCUGUAGUC
rnacentral:rRNA from 1 species